GACGAACGCUGGCGGCGUGCUUAACACAUGCAAGUCGAACGGAAAGGCCCUGCUUUUGUGGGGUGCUCGAGUGGCGAACGGGUGAGUAACACGUGAGUAACCUGCCCUUGACUUUGGGAUAACUUCAGGAAACUGGGGCUAAUACCGGAUAGGAGCUCCUGCUGCAUGGUGGGGGUUGGAAAGUUUCGGCGGUUGGGGAUGGACUCGCGGCUUAUCAGCUUGUUGGUGGGGUAGUGGCUUACCAAGGCUUUGACGGGUAGCCGGCCUGAGAGGGUGACCGGCCACAUUGGGACUGAGAUACGGCCCAGACUCCUACGGGAGGCAGCAGUGGGGAAUAUUGCACAAUGGGCGGAAGCCUGAUGCAGCAACGCCGCGUGCGGGAUGACGGCCUUCGGGCUGUAAACCGCUUUCGCCUGUGACGAAGCGUGAGUGACGAUAAUGGGUAAAGAAGCACCGGCUAACUACGUG
rnacentral:rRNA from 1 species